rnacentral:rRNA from 1 species
UACGAAGGGGGCUAGCGUUGCUCGGAAUCACUGGGCGUAAAGCGCACGUAGGCGGCUUUCUAAGUCAGGGGUGAAAUCCUGGAGCUCAACUCCAGAACUGCCUUUGAUACUGGAGAGCUUGAGUCCGGAAAGAGGUGAGUGGAACUCCGAGUGUAGAGGUGAAAUUCGUAGAUAUUCGGAAGAACACCAGUGGCGAAGGCGGCUCACUGGUCCGGUACUGACGCUGAUGUGCGAAAGCGUGGGGAGCAAACAGGG